CUUUGCUGGCGACCGGCGCACGGGUGAGUAACACGUAUCCAACCUGCCCUUUACUCGGGGAUAGCCUUUCGAAAGAAAGAUUAAUACCCGAUGGCAUAAUGAUUCCGCAUGGUUUCAUUAUUAAAGGAUUCCGGUAAAGGAUGGGGAUGCGUUCCAUUAGGCUGUUGGUGAGGUAACGGCCCACCAAGCCUUCGAUGGAUAGGGGUUCUGAGAGGAAGGUCCCCCACAUUGGAACUGAGACACGGUCCAA
rnacentral:rRNA from 1 species